GAGACCAUAUCUUUGAUUUUAUCUUGUCCAUUUGUAGGAUGGUGAUAACGUUCUAGAAUUAUGUUCUAAGAAGGAUGAAGAGAGAGCCAAACUUUUGAGGUUGAGACAAAAGAAGUGCAAGUGGGAGAAGACAAGGAUGAGAAUGCAAUUCAGACAUGAACAAAGAAGGAAAACCUGCCACUAGCUUCUUGUCAAUGAAGCUCUCUCAAAGUAAGUAACGAAAAGAUUCAUCAAACUCUUUAAUUUUCUAAGUGAUUUAAAGCUCUCUGUCUCUUAUCUUUGUCUAAACAUGAAUCAUUUUCAACCCGAGUUCUUAGAUCACUGAGUACAUGGUUAUGCGUUCUUGUAUUUGGGGAAUUUAGAGAUUUGUUCAUGUCUUUUACGUCGUGUUGUUAUUUGUCACAUUAAAAGUUCAUACCAAAGCAGCA
rnacentral:lncRNA from 1 species